GUUUGUUAAAUUUCCAGUAAAUAAGAAAGCCCCAGAAACCAGGUGAACGGCUGAACUGCAAGGAAACAUCUGCCCUUGGCUUCAGCCAGAAGCAGAAGACAGCACAGAUGAUCCUUCUGUAAGCUAAAUCUUAACCCAGGAGGGAGUUUUCCAUCUGGGGAAGGACUGAAGACCACAGAAAUCAUGACAUCUCCAGCAUGAAGUGGAGUCAGCAAGGCGGAAAAGAUGAGUGUGGAAUCAGGAGCAGGAGAUCCUUCUUGAGUGCUGAAAUACAAAAACAAGAAUUGUGAGUUCUGAUCUGACUCAGAUUCUCCAGGGACUGCACGUCAGACAAAUGCUACAGAAAUCAAGAGACCAGAUGACCCACUUCUCUCUAGCUCCAGGAUAAAACCCCACUGCUUUGGUAGCCCCAUCCAAAGCAGGCUGUAAAUAAUCAUUCUUAUGAAAAACAGGGGGGGCAACACUCACUUCAA